GAUGAAGAACGUAGCGAAAUGCGAUAAGUAAUGUGAAUUGCAGAAUUCAGUGAAUCAUCGAAUCUUUGAACGCACCUUGCGCCCUUUGGUAUUCCGAUGGGCAUGCCUGUUCGAGCGUCAUUAUAACCCCUCAAGCUCGGCUUGGUGUUGGGGCCUGCCGCACGGGCAGCCCUUAAAAUCAGUGGCGGUGCCAUCUGGCUCUAAGCGUAGUAAUUCUUCUCGCUAUAGAGUCCCGGUGGAUGCUUGCCAUUAACCCCCAAUUUCAAUGGUUGACCUCGGAUCAGGUAGGGAUACCCGCUGAACUUAAGCAUAUCAAUAAGCGGAGGA
rnacentral:misc_RNA from 1 species